CCGUCGCUGCUCGCGCAGGAGGCCUCGAGCUCCCAGUGCUCCCCUCCUCAACCACCCCGGGUAAGUGGCUCCCAGAUUGAUAGGGAAAGAGUUCGGACUGUAGGGGCUAUUGAAUACUUGAUUGAUGCCACAAAAUCUGGAAAUGUGUCCCGCUAUAUCAAUCACAGUUGUUCCUCAAAUCUCAGCACCCGAUUGGUUUUGGUAGAGAGCAAAGAUUGCCAGCUUGCUCACAUUGGCUUGUUUGCUAAUCAAAACAUUGCCGUAGGAGAAGAACUCGCCUAUGAUUACCGACAAAAGCUUGUAGCAGGCGAUGGCUGCUUCUGCCAUUGUGGGGGUACCAAUUGCCGAGUCCGUGUCUAUUGACUUCGCAGGAAGACACUAAACUGUUCAACGCUUGGUUGCAGAACUCGAGGUUUCUACAGCUGUGUAGGCUGCUGAGCGAUUUAGGUGGUACAUUUACUUAUCCUGGAUGUUCAUUUUCUUCUUGCACUUCUGCAGUGUUUGUUAAAUAGCAUUACAGUACCAUGAAAGAGCAGUGACAUAUUCAUGCACUUGCCAUUAUACUUUCCUUUUCCUGAACUAACUAUAUAAUCACUUGAUAAAGGGACAAAUACUAUGUCAUAAUUGUUAGUUAAGUAUGUUAUCAACUAUCUUUUCUUGGACACUGUACAAUACUUGGAUCUGGUAACAAAAGUUUGUACCUCUUAUAGGUUUCUAUUUAGUUUUUUUCUGCCAAUCUCUUCAAGCUAACUCAUGUACGUGUAUGAAUCACAUUGUUAUAGUAGCUAACAAUGUCAGUAGUGUACCAAUCAAUAACUGUAUUGCAGUCAAGAAAAUAGUAAUUUCCUUGACUGAUU